rnacentral:rRNA from 1 species
AACGAACGCUGGCGGCAGGCUUAACACAUGCAAGUCGAACGCAUCGCAAGAUGAGUGGCAGACGGGUGAGUAACGCGUGGGAAUCUACCCAGUUCUACGGAACAACAGUUGGAAACGACUGCUAAUACCGUAUACGCCCUACGGGGGAAAGAUUUAUCGGAAUUGGAUGAGCUCGCGUAAGAUUAGGUAGUUGGUGGGGUAAUGGCCUACCAAGGCGACGAUCUUUAGCCGGGCUGAGAGGAUGAUCAGCCACACUGGGACUGAGACACGGCCCAGACUCCUACGGGAGGCAGCAGUGGGGAAUAUUGGACAAUGGGAGCAAGCCUGAUCCAGCCAUGCCGCGUGAGUGAUGAAGGCCUUAGGGUUGUAAAGCUCUUCCACCGAUGAAGAUAAUGACGGUAGUCGGAGAAGAAGCCCCGGCUAACUUCGUGCCAGCCGCCGCCGUAA